rnacentral:lncRNA from 1 species
GGGCGGCUGACUGGCCACCUGAGGAACCUCAGGUUCACUCAAACCACAAGAAAACAGAUACCAGUUUUGGGAGUAGGAGACUCCCCUUCGGAAACGAGGAAGAGAGCCUCUCUGGUUCAGGCCCACUGGUGGAUGGUCAUCUUUAUGUGCAGCUGCGCAAAACUGGAGCAGGCAGACACCAGCAUGGUACUGCUUAAACUAUUAAGGGCAUGUCAUUGGUGGUACACUUUACAGUUAUCAAAUACUGAGGCUAGAUCAUGAAGGAACUAGAGGAUGAAUGGACAUUACCCCUGGAUGCUGGUCUUGAACACAGAUGCCGUAACCAUAAUCCUUCAGGUGAAGCUGUUUUCAUCUUGGCCCCAGGAGCUUGUCCUCAUUUUCUGAGGCGACAGAAGAGGAACUGAGAACCCAAAUUCUUUGUGCAAUGCAGGCUCUCUGGGUGUCAAAUACCCAUAAAACCAUUGCAUCCCGGCCUCAAGGUGGUGGUAUUUGCCUCCCACUCUCAAAGGAACAUCUGGAAGCCUGAAUGGAGAAGGAGGGCUGAUCAGCCAUCAGCUCAGCUGGGGCAGUGUUCCCUGACCUGUCAGCUCUUCCCCUUCAGACCUCAGAGGAUAGAGAGGGUCAGCUGGCAACCUCCACUGAGCCUGUGAACCAGUCCCAGGAGCUUCUCCAGCAGGUGUUUGUCCUUAGGCGGAGAUGUUUCCUGGAUGCCUCACUCCUUUGCCUCUCAAGGAUAAAUGCCCCGAUGACAGAAACCCCCAGCCCCUGCCCAGUGACAGGAAGUGCUGACUUCAACACUGGGUCCUGCCAUUUACCAGAGAGCCCUUGAAGAAAAAAUCAAGAGGAGAAAGGCCCAAAAGAAAGAAAACACGGUGGGCCAGAAAAAUUUCAUCAGGCAGAUUGCUUCAAGAUGAAGACCAACCAGAGAAAAUAUUCCCAGGAGUUAAAAUACGCAGCACGUUUUAGAUACCAAUGACGGCGAUUUGCUUUCUCUUCAUUUCUGUCUUCACAUUGCUGACAACUCCCCUCAUUGUCUUAAAUAUGGAUUGCCAAAGUCAAUUAAAUACGCAAGAGGAACAUUGUACAUUUUGGAGGAAAGUAAUUAUUGUUACACCUUAGAGCAGCUUAAUGAAUACAUUAAUAAACGAUCCUUCGCCAUGUUUUUCUUUUCAUAGCCAUCAAAAUCUUUAUAAAACCUACAGCACAAUACAUAACAUCUCGUUACAAGAUUUGCUUUUAAAAAAAUCAAUGCAUACCUAA